rnacentral:rRNA from 1 species
GAUGAACGCUAGCGGCAGGCUUAACACAUGCAAGUCGAGGGGUAGAGGCUUUCGUGCCUUGCGAAUGGCGCACGUGUGUGUAACGUGUAUGCAAUCUGCCUUGCACAGGGGGAUAGCUCAGAGAAAUUUGGAUUAAUACUCCAUAGUAUUUUCGGUUGGCAUCAACUGAUCAUUAAAGGUUUUGGGUACAAGAUGAGCAUGCGUGCCAUUAGCUAGGUGGUAUGGUAACGGCAUACCAAGGCUACGAUGGGUAGGGGUCCAGAGAGGGAGAUCCCCCACACUGGUAAUGAAACACGGACCAGACUCCGACGGAAGGCAGCAAGGAGGAAUAUUGGUCAAUAGUCGCAAGACUGAACCAGCCAUGCCGCGUGCAGGAUGAAGCAUCUAUGGUGUGUAAACUGCUUUUGUACGGGAAGAAACACUCCUACGUGUAGGGGCUUGACGGUACCGUAAGAAUAAGGAUCGGCUAACUCCGUGCCAGCAGCCGCGGUAAUAC